rnacentral:tRNA from 1 species
AGGCGGAUAGCUCAACGGGAGAGCGUCGGGAGGACGUGCCGAAGGUUGAGGGUUCGAAUCCCUCUUCGCCUA